UUGCCAUCUAAAGAAAUUGAUUGCUGGAUGCC
rnacentral:piRNA from 1 species